UACGUAGGGAGCAAGCGUUGUUCGGAUUUACUGGGCGUAAAGGGCGCGUAGGCGGCUAUUCAAGUCAUCUGUGAAAUCUCCGGGCUUAACUCGGAACGGUCAGAUGAUACUGCUUUGCUAGAGUGCAGAAGGGGCAAUCGGAAUUCUCGGUGUAGCGGUGAAAUGCGUAGAUAUCGAGAGGAACACCAGAGGUGAAGACGGGUUGCUGGGCUGACACUGACGCUGAGGCGCGAAAGCCAGGGGAGCAAACGGG
rnacentral:rRNA from 1 species